rnacentral:rRNA from 1 species
UACGAAGGGGGCUAGCGUUGCUCGGAAUCACUGGGCGUAAAGGGCGCGUAGGCGGCCGAUUAAGUCGGGGGUGAAAGCCUGUGGCUCAACCACAGAAUUGCCUUCGAUACUGGUUGGCUUGAGACCGGAAGAGGACAGCGGAACUGCGAGUGUAGAGGUGAAAUUCGUAGAUAUUCGGAAGAACACCAGUGGCGAAGGCGGCUCACUGGCCCGGUACUGACGCUGAGGUGCGAAAGCGUGGGGAGCAAACAGG